GUCCUUUUGAUAAUAAUUUAAGGUCUAACCUGCCCACUGAUUUAUUGAAUGGCCGCGGUAUUUUGACCGUGCAAAGGUAGCAUAAUCAUUAGUUUUUUAAUUGAAAACUGGAAUGAAUGGUUGAAUAAAAAAAAAGCUGUCUCAAUUUAAUUUUAUUAGAAUUUUAUUUUUAAGUUAAAAAGCUUAAAUUUAAUUUAAAGACGAGAAGACCCUAUAGAGUUUUAUAUUUAAAUUUUAUAAAAAUUUAAGAUUUUAAUUUUUUAUAAUAAUUUAAUUAUUUAGUUGGGGUGACUUAAAAAUUUAAAUAACUUUUUAAUUUUAAAACAUUGAUUUAUGAAUAGUUGAUCCAUUUUUAAUGAUUAAAAGAAAAAAUUACCUUAGGGAUAACAGCGUAAUUUUUUUUGAGAGUUCUUAUCGAAAAAAGAGAUUGCGACCUCGAUGUUGGAUUAAAAUAAAUAUUUGGUGUAGAAGCUAAAUUAUUAAGUCUGUUCGACUUUUAAAAUUUUACA
rnacentral:rRNA from 1 species